AGAGUUUGAUCCUGGCUCAGGACGAACGCUGGCGGCGUGCUUAACACAUGCAAGUCUACGAGAAAGUUUCUUUCGGGAAGCAAGUAAAGUGGCGCACGGGAUGAGUAACACGUAAGCAAUCUACCUUUAGGUUUGGAAUAACUCCGAGAAAUCGGGGCUAAUACCAGAUGAUGCAGCGAUACCGCAUGGUAAUGCUGUUAAAGUCUAUAUGGCACCUAAAGACGAGCUUGCGUCUGAUUAGCUUGUUGGUAAGGUAAUGGCUUACCAAGGCAACGAUCAGUAGCUGGUCUGAGAGGAUGAUCAGCCACACUGGAACUGAGACACGGUCCAGACUCCUACGGGAGGCAGCAGUGAGGAAUAUUGGGCAAUGGGCGAAAGCCUGACCCAGCAACGCCGCGUGGAGGAUGAAUGUCGUAAGAUUGUAAGCCCCUGUUAGAGGGGAAGAAUAAUCCCGAUCGACUCGGGACAUGACUGUACCCUCAGAGAAAGCUCCGGCUAACUACGUGCCAGCAGCCGCGGUAAUACGUAGGGAGCAAGCGUUGUCCGGAUUUACUGGGUGUAAAGGGCGCGCAGGCGGGUUGGCAAGUCAGAGGUGAAAUCCUACAGCUUAACUGUAGAACUGCCCUUGAUACUGCCAAUCUUGAGUAUGGAAGAGAGAGACGGAAUUCCAGGUGUAGUGGUGAAAUACGUAGAUAUCUGGAAGAACACCAGUUGCGAAGGCGGUCUCUUGGUCCAAUACUGACGCUGAGGCGCGAAAGCGUGUGGAGCAAACAGGAUUAGAUACCCUGGUAGUCCACGCCGUAACGAUGAAUACUAGUGCCGGGUCUUUAGAUUCGGUGCCGCAGCUACGCAUUAAGUAUUCCACCUGGGGAGUACGAUCGCAGGUUGAAACUCAAAGGAAUUGACGG
rnacentral:rRNA from 1 species